rnacentral:rRNA from 1 species
UACGAGGGGGGCGAGCGUUGUUCGGAAUUAUUGGGCGUAAAGGGUGCGUAGGCGGUUCCGCAAGUCCUGUGUGAAAUCUUCGGGCUCAACUCGAAGUCUGCACGGGAAACUGCGGGGCUUGAGUGUGGGAGAGGUGAGUGGAAUUCCCGGUGUAGAGGUGAAAUUCGUAGAUAUCGGGAGGAACACCAGUGGCGAAGGCGGCGACCUGGACGGACGACUGACGCUGAGGCACGGAAAGCGUGGGGAGCAAACAGG